AAGCCUGGACCUAGAUAAUUGGCGAUGUGUGUAAAGGAAGAUACUUCUGCAGGUGUACUGUUCAGUGAGCUUUCAGAGCAUCUGUUAUUAGUAGUCCUUUGGAAAUGACAAAGGCAGGUGUAAGUAUUUUAACAUUCUUUAAUAGUGAAGGUGUUAAAAUUUACGUGAGCUGCUGACAUAUGCAGCCCUGAACUCAAUUUGUGCCAUCUUUUACACUCUGUGAAGCUCCCAACACAGUUUACACUUGAUUGGAAGCACCCUGUCCAUGUGGAAGUGGGCAGCUCAACAUCUUGCCCAUGGUUAUGCCCAAGGAUUACACAUGGCAUGUGGAAGUGCCGAAUGGCUUUGCAUCACCAGUGGACACCCAAAUGUGAUGGAGAUUUCAGAAGAGUGAGUCAGCCCCAUUGACUAAAACAUGUUUGAGAGACUCAGUAACCACAGAAAGUUGAAGAUGGACUUUGUUGCAAAGCUCAAUGAGAUAAAGACUUCUUUGAGGCAGAAUGGCAUUCUGAGGCAGAGCCUGAACCCAGCUUGGCUGACCUGCUACAAUCCACUGGUACCCACAUUUAAAACCUGCUUUCAUCUUUGAAAUUCAGCUAUGGAAUAGGCAUUUUACAACCUCUGUAAUACUUAAAGUUUUCAUGCAUGAUAAAUAAAAUUACCUUAAAGGUUAA